GGAUUACAACCAGAUCAGCUGCAUUGAAGACGGGGCAUUUAGAGCACUGAGAGAUCUGGAAGUACUCACCCUGAACAAUAACAAUAUUACUAGACUGUCAGUGGCAAGUUUCAACCAUAUGCCUAAACUUAGGACAUUCCGACUCCACUCAAACAACCUGUACUGCGACUGCCACCUGGCCUGGCUCUCGGACUGGCUUCGCCAAAGGCCUAGGGUGGGCUUAUACACCCAGUGUAUGGGCCCAUCCCACCUGAGGGGUCACAAUGUAGCAGAGGUUCAAAAACGAGAGUUUGUCU